UUGAACGCUGGCGGCAGGCUUAACACAUGCAAGUCGAACGGUAACGGGAAGGGAGCUUGCUUUCUUUGCCGACGAGUGGCGGACGGGUGAGUAAUGCUUGGGAAUCUGGCUUAUGGAGGGGGAUAACUACGGGAAACUGUAGCUAAUACCGCGUAAUAUCUAUGGAUUAAAGGGUGGGACUUUCGGGCCACCUGCCAUAAGAUGAGCCCAAGUGGGAUUAGGUAGUUGGUUAGGUAAAGGCUGACCAAGCCGACGAUCUCUAGCUGGUCUGAGAGGAUGACCAGCCACACUGGAACUGAGACACGGUCCAGACUCCUACGGGAGGCAGCAGUGGGGAAUAUUGCACAAUGGGGGGAACCCUGAUGCAGCCAUGCCGCGUGAAUGAAGAAGGCCUUUGGGUUGUAAAGUUCUUUCGGUAGCGAGGAAGGUAUCAAAUUUAAUAGAUUUGGUAAUUGACGUUAACUACAGAAGAAGCACCGGCUAACUCCGUGCCAGCAGCCGCGGUAAUACGGAGGGUGCGAGCGUUAAUCGGAAUAACUGGGCGUAAAGGGCACGCAGGCGGUUGAUUAAGUGAGAUGUGAAAGCCCCGGGCUUAACCUGGGAAUUGCAUUUCAUACUGGUCAACUAGAGUACUUUAGGGAGGGGUAGAAUUCCACGUGUAGCGGUGAAAUGCGUAGAGAUGUGGAGGAAUACCGAAGGCGAAGGCAGCCCUUUGGGAAUGUACUGACGCUCAUGUGCGAAAGCGUGGGGAGCAAACAGGAUUAGAUACCCUGGUAGUCCACGCUGUAAACGCUGUCGAUUUGGGGAUUGGACUGUGAGUCUGGUGCCCGAAGCUAACGUGAUAAAUCGACCGCCUGGGGAGUACGGCCGCAAGGUU
rnacentral:rRNA from 1 species